rnacentral:rRNA from 1 species
UACGAACUGUGCGAACGUUAUUCGGAAUCACUGGGCUUACAGGGUGCGUAGGCGGCUUGUUAAGUAGGGUGUGAAAGCCCCCGGCUCAACCGGGGAAUUGCGCCCUAAACUGGCGAGCUGGAGUGAGAUAGGGGUGUGUGGAACUUCCGGUGGAGCGGUGAAAUGCGUUGAGAUCGGAAGGAACGCCCGUGGCGAAAGCGAGGUCCUGGGCUCCUGCUGACGCUGAGACGCGAAAGCCAGGGGAGCGAACGGG